AAUGAACGUUGGCGGCGUGGAUUAGGCAUGCAAGUCGUACGGGAGUAGCAAUACUCUAGUGGCGAAAGGGAUAGUACAAUAUAGAUCAUCUGCCCCCGGGACGUGGAUAUACGAGGGAAACUUCGGGUAAUACACGAUAAUCUCCAUGGAGCAAAGGUGUGAUUCCGCCUGGGGAUGAGUCUAUAGCCUAUUAGCUUGUUGGUGGGGUAAUGGCCUACCAAGGCUAAGAUGGGUACCGGGCGUGAGAGCGUGACCCGGCUCACUGGGACUGAGACACUGCCCAGACACCUACGGGUGGCUGCAGUCGAGAAUCUUCGGCAAUGGACGAAAGUCUGACCGAGCGACGCCGCGUGUGUGACGAAGGCCAUUUGCGUUGUAAAGCACUAUCGUUUGGGAGGAAGUGUACGGGGGCUAUCCCCUGUACUUGACCUAUCUUAGGAAGAAGGACGGGCUAAGUUCGUGCCAGCAGCCGCCGUAAAAC
rnacentral:rRNA from 1 species